GGGGUUGUCAUGGUUUCGACAGGUUUAAGUUUGAUUUGAACUGCAGUGGAGUGGUGACCUAAUCACCAAACAAAAAUAACUGGAAAUAACAGAUUAUCAUUUGCUGCUUAAUCGCCUAAAUACUGGUCGCAGCAUCCUAUCUUAAAAUUGUCAUUAGUUUUAAUUUAGUGUAUUCAUAAUGAAUAAGGUGAAGUCUAGCUUGGUGAUGGAUCCUGACAAUUCUUACAAGCAAAUUCAAUCUUUGUUGGCUCGCUCCAUUUGAUUGUCUUACCAAUAGCGAGAUAAACUGUAGACGUUCAAAUGUGGGACUAUUCUUGGACAGGGGUUCGACUCCCCUCAGCUCCACCA
rnacentral:tmRNA from 1 species